rnacentral:rRNA from 1 species
GACGAACGCUGGCGGCGUGCCUAAUACAUGCAAGUCGAGCGGACCGAACGAGGGCUUGCUCUUGUUUGGUCAGCGGCGGACGGGUGAGUAACACGUGGGCAACCUGCCCGCAAGACCGGGAUAACUCCGGGAAACCGGAGCUAAUACCGGAUAACACCGAAGACCGCAUGGUCUUCGGUUGAAAGGCGGCCUUUGGGCUGUCACUUGCGGAUGGGCCCGCGGCGCAUUAGCUAGUUGGUGAGGUAACGGCUCACCAAGGCGACGAUGCGUAGCCGGCCUGAGAGGGUGACCGGCCACACUGGGACUGAGACACGGCCAAGACUCCGACGGGAGGCAGCAGUAGGGAAUCUUCCGCAAUGGGCGAAAGCCUGACGGAGCGACGCCGCGUGAGCGAAGAAGGCCUUCGGGUCGUAAAGCUCUGUUGUGAGGGACGAAGGGGCGCCGUUCGAAGAGGGCGGCGCGGUGACGGUACCUCACGAGAAAGCCCCGGCUAACUACGUGCCAGCCGCCGCCGUAA